UCUCGAUAGCGUAAAAGUUAAAUCAAAUUUGUAUGGAGUUGGAACGUUUCGCUACGUUUUCCACUAGGGGCGCUGUUCCAACUGCAAUAUAAGUUUGAGUUACUUUUACGCUAUCGU
rnacentral:pre_miRNA from 9 species